AGUCAAUAGAUACCCGGGUAGUCCACGCCGUAAACGAUGAGUACUAGGUGUAGGAGGUAUCGACUCCUUCUGUGCCGCAGUUAAACACAAUAAGUACUCCGCCUGGGAAGUACGGUCGCAAGAUUAAAACUCAAAGGAAUUGACGGGGGCCCGGCACAAGCAGCGGAGCAUGUGGUUUAAUUCGAAGCAACGCGAAGAACCUUACCUAGACUUGACAUCUCCUGAAUAGCGCAGAGAUGCGUGAAGCCCUUCGGGGUCGAGGAAAACCAGGUGGUGCAUGGUUGUCGUCAGCUCGUGUCGUGAGAUGUUGGGUUAAGUCCCGCAACGAGCGCAACCCCUAUUAUUAGUUGCUACCAUUAAGUUGAGCACUCUAAUGAGACUGCCC
rnacentral:rRNA from 1 species